rnacentral:rRNA from 1 species
UAGGGAAUCUUCGGCAAUGGGGGGAACCCUGACCGAGCAACGCCGCGUGAGUGAAGAAGGUUUUCGGAUCGUAAAGCUCUGUUGUUAAGGAAGAACGAGUGUGAGAAUGGAAAGUUCAUACUGUGACGGUACUUAACCAGAAAGGGACGGCUAACUACGUGCCAGCAGCCGCGGUAAUACGUAGGUCCCGAGCGUUGUCCGGAUUUAUUGGGCGUAAAGCGAGCGCAGGCGGUUAGAUAAGUCUGAAGUUAAAGGCAGUGGCUCAACCAUUGUAGGCUUUGGAAACUGUUUAACUUGAGUGCAGAAGGGGAGAGUGGAAUUCCAUGUGUAGCGGUGAAAUGCGUAGAUAUAUGGAGGAACACCGGUGGCGAAAGCGGCUCUCUGGUCUGUAACUGACGCUGCGGCUCGAAAGCGUGGGGAGCGAACAGG